GGUUCACAUCAUCCUUGAUUGAUUUCUAUAUCAAUACCAUAGCCAUAGGGAUGUGGGUAAUCUACAAGGAAUCUAGCUGGAUUUCCUCACUUAUUUGGAUGCUUUUGCUUAUAUGUUUUGGAAGGUAUAUGUUACAUACUCAAUUCCCACAUCGGUUGUGAGAACAACUGGUGUGGGGUAUAUAUGUUAAAUGGGCUCUCUUACCUAACAGCUAAAUUGAUCGAGCCUAAUUCCUUUAAGUAGCGACGAUGCUUCCACUCAUUCAACAACAACAGAAUUCAAGAGAUAUAGAGUAGAGUGGAGAAGUUUUUCCAACUGUGCAUUUGUGCUCUCGAAGCAAGUCGACUUCGAGCGAGUUGAGAAAGUUCUGUACUUGUAAAUCUCCGAGAGAAUUGAGUGUUCUUGUAAAUCCUUUUGAGUGAUCAAUAAACACAUACACUA